UUUGUUCAUUCUUAUCCCAUUUUUUUUCUCUCACUAAUAUCUCUAGCAAUCCCUGGGGAUCUCAUCAUCACAUGAUAGACACCUUUUGACAAUUUUGACACUAUGGAGAGUGAGAGGCUCACACAAGGACAUGACUGUAGGAAAAAAUCUCCUUAAAAACCUCACCAUAUCACCAUCACCUACCCUCACUUACCUUAAUCCUCCACUUACCUUAACAAUUCAAUCUCUCUCUCCCUCUUCACACUAACAUCAUCAAAAAAAAUUCCAAACCCAUCAUCAACACACCGAAAAAAAGUCCUCUCAUAAACCAUGAACCUUCAUCCUUCCUUUUUAUGAGCUACUUAUUCAACCUCACAUUCAUUUCUUCAACAACCUUCAUCACCAUAUAAAACUCCACCAUAAAUUCCAUUAACUUUAUACUCCCUCCCUAAAACCAUUCUUCCAUUGUCAAACCACACUUCAUAUCUCAUUCUUCAAACAAAAUAAAUUGAAAACACUAUUGUUUCUCCAUCGCAAAACCGAGCUACAAGCUUCACUCAAUAUCACCAUAACGUCUGGCCAUCUUCGUACAGCCAUUGUUCACCGUCGUAACGACAAAACUCUAUCACUAUUUUCAUCAGUUUUUUCUUCCAUUUUCUGUUUACAUUAACUUUUUCAUUUUAUUAACCAUGUUGAUAGAUUUUUUGAGUGAACUCUGUGUGUUUUGUUUUAAUUUUAUUGCAAAAAAAUCUUCAUGGUGAAAGUCAAGAAAGAUGGUGGUUCUCUUUAUGUUGGUUUCCAGCUUCACAC
rnacentral:lncRNA from 1 species